UUUCGCUAUGGGCCAAAACUAGUGUUUUUUCGGAUUUCUUGUCUAGUUUAAGUGCAGGGCUAGAGAGUUCUCUUCCAGUAUUCUUAGCUGACUGUCCGCUUGCUUGACUCGAACAAAUAGCUUUUGUUUCCACAAGGCAGAUCCCAUUCCUCGAAUGCAAAGGACAAGAAAGACGGAUUCUGGCUGGAAGGAAGGGUUCUCGUAUUGGUUCUUCUGGUGCG
rnacentral:lncRNA from 1 species